rnacentral:rRNA from 1 species
UACGGAGGUGGCGAGCGUUGUCCGAAGUUACUGGGCGUAAAGCGCGCGUAGGCGGGCUCUUAAGUGAGAAGUGAAAGGCUGGGGCUCAACUCCAUGCAGUGCUUCUCAUACUGGGGGUCUUGAGGGCGGUAGAGAGAAGUGGAAUGGCUGGUGUAGCGGUGAAAUGCGUAGAUAUCAGGAGGAACACCUGCGGUGUAGACGGCUUUCUGGACCAUUGUUGACGCUGAGACACGAAAGCGUGGGUAGCAAACAGG